UCUCGAUUCCGAUAUCAGAUCGGCGUCUCCUUUCGAUUUCGCUUUCUAUCGGUGCGUCUCCGUCUCCGUCUGUGUUUUAUUUCGAUCUGUCCCACAUCGAUUCCAGAUGUCUAACAAUGACUCAUUGGAUGUGCUUAACCUACCGCCCCGUAUAUAUAAUCCCGGGUUUGAACCAAACAUUGGAGCUGUUGUUAUUCAACAUUUCGAAACGCAUUUGGUCAAAAAAGUUGAGCUCGCACUAGGGGAGGAACAGUUUAAUCUAAUUAAAGCCUCUUUCCUUGGUCCUAUUAUUGAACUAGCAAAAAGAAGUGGAGUUAAUUUUUCGGGGAAGAUUUUCCACUUCUUGAUGCAGCGAAGGUUGCUUUUAAAGGAGAAGAAUCUCUGGUUCACAUUUGACUCCCAGCCAAUGCGAUUCUCAGAGAGAGAAUUCUUGCUUACCACAGGUAUAUCUAAAUUAGUUUUGUUUUGUAAGUUUUUAAUCAAUUUACAAUGU